CUAACAUGUUUUAUUUUGCAGCUUAUAAAAUAUUUGUUUCUGUAAAUAUAUAACUUAUACGUACGUUGCUCGUAAGGCUCGCUAUUACCCUUUUUUUUCCUUUUCAAGAAUUUUCUCUCCUUUUUAUUCUCUCUAAAGGGCGAUUAGGUCAAGCCGCCACAGACUCGUUUUCUCAGCCUUGCCUCUCCAGCGGCCACCACGGCGCUGUGAGAAGGCUCUCUAGUUCUUUUCCUGUCAUUCUCUUGUUUGUUGUUAGCUAUGUUUGCGGAAUUUUGGCCUUUGUUAGAAGAGUUGCUGGUGAACUCGGGUGGUGAAAGGGUGGUCUUUGCGGAAGCGGUCGAGGUGGGUCAGAUCUAUUCGUUUCGAGAUCAAUAUCUGCUUUUGUGCUUUUCAUCGUCUCUAUGCCGCUGAUGUGGUUUUGGGUGGUCUCUCGUUAGUUUCCCUCAAGCUUUCAUCUUUUCGCUUGCUCUAUCUCUCCUUGGUUCAGCCUUUGGUUUUCAUCUGGGUUGCUCCAGUUGCUUUGAUUUGUCUGAAGUUGAUGCUAGUUUCAAAGUUGACAGAUCUUCCAAUUCGGGGUGGAGAUUGCAGUGAAUGGUAGCUGGCUUGUUUUGAUGGUGUUCUUGUUCGCAAGAAGGGUUAUCUCGGGUGGUUAGGUUUGGCUCCUUGUCUUUGCUUUGCAGAUCGGGUAGAGAUCUGAAAGUGUUUUGUAGACUUCUAUCUAUGCGUAAUUGGGUGGCGCGUGUGUCGUUAUCGUCGUCGCAUCCGGGAGUGGUUGAGGUUCCUCUAAGGUCUCACUUGCCGGGUUAUGAAGGUCUUGGGCUCGGUUUGGAGAGGUCGGCUCUCAUCUUGAUAGGAGGAAGCGGUUGUUAUCUUUGGUUUGCCGAGGGCAUCAAGGAUAAAUCUCAUUCUUAGGAUUUUCAGAAGAAGAAGUUGAUUUGGUGAACUUUGAGCUAGCGUCUCAGAAGAUUGAAGUCUUGUUGUUUUUCUUUUUAAACUUUGGUUGCAAUUUCUUUUGAGUUGAGGCUUAUAAUUUCUGCUUUGUAUGUUUAAUGGUUCUUGCUUUCAGUUUAGUUUCCGGGGACUUUUCUUUCAUCCGUCAGCUUAGCCUCCCUUGUUUGGGCUUUAGAUUCCGGGGAUAUUUAUGUGUUUCGCCGGCUUAAGUUUGUAUUUUAUGUAUCCUUCAAGUUUAUUAUCAAUAACAACAUCAGAUGACAAAAAAAACA